rnacentral:rRNA from 1 species
AUUGAACGCUGGCGGCAGGCUUAACACAUGCAAGUCGAGCGAGCGGCGGACGGGUGAGUAAUGUCUGGGAAACUGCCUGAUGGAGGGGGAUAACUACUGGAAACGGUAGCUAAUACCGCAUACCAUCAGAUGUGCCCAGAUGGGAUUAGCUAGUAGGUGGGGUAAUGGCUCACCUAGGCGACGAUCCCUAGCUGGUCUGAGAGGAUGACCAGCCACACGGGAACUGAGACACGGUCAAGAGUCCUACGGGAGGAGGCAGGGGGGAAUAUUGCACAAUGGGCGCAAGCUGGAUACAGCCAUGCCGCGGGUAUGAAGAAGGCCUUCGGGUUGUAAAGUACUUGCAGCGGGGAGGCGUUACCCGCAGAAGAAGCCCCGGCUAACUCCGUGCCAGCAGCCGCGGUAAUAC